CUAAUAACUGGCAAUGAGACAUAUUUGCUUCAAAUGAUGCCUUUAAAGUUUGAAAAGAUUUUUUCUAAUUCAAAUGUCGACUUUUUGUUACAUGAAAAAAGAUACUUAUUUAAACCCCUCGACUAUAUUGAUACACUUAGUAUGUGGAGUUACUUGUCAAUAGCUGGCGAUGAAACUUUUAAACGUAACGUCUUUAAGGGCUGAGAAGGUAAAAAUUAGAAGUCUGCAGACUGCAA
rnacentral:lncRNA from 1 species